rnacentral:rRNA from 1 species
GGGAACGGUUAAUCGUGAUUACUGGGGCGUAAAGCGUGUGUAGGCGGUUCGGAAAGAAAGAUGUGAAAUCCCAGGGCUCAACCUUGGAACUGCAUUUUUAACUGCCGAGCUAGAGUAUGUCAGAGGGGGGUAGAAUUCCACGUGUAGCAGUGAAAUGCGUAGAUAUGUGGAGGAAUACCGAUGGCGAAGGCAGCCCCCUGGGAUAAUACUGACGCUCAGACACGAAAGCGUGGGGAGCAAACAGGAUUAGAUACCCUGGUAGUCCACGCCCUAAACGAUGUCAACUAGCUGUUGGGGCCGUUAGGCCUUAGUAGCGCAGCUAACGCGUGAAGUUGACCGCCUGGGGAGUACGGUCGCAAGAUUAAAACUCAAAGGAAUUGACGGGGACCCGCACAAGCGGUGGAUGAUGUGGAUUAAUUCGAUGCAACGCGAAAAACCUUACCUACCCUUGACAUGUCUGGAAUGCCGAAGAGAUUUGGCAGUGCUCGCAAGAGAACCGGAACACAGGUGCUGCAUGGCUGUCGUCAGCUCGUGUCGUGAGAUGUUGGGUUAAGUCCCGCAACGAGCGCAACCCUUGUCAUUAGUUGCUACGCAAGAGCACUCUAAUGAGACUGCCGGUGACAAACCGGAGGAAGGUGGGGAUGACGUCAAGUCCUCAUGGCCCUUAUGGGUAGGGCUUCACACGUCAUACAAUGGUCGGGACAGAGGGUCGCCAACCCGCGAGGGGGAGCCAAUCUCAGAAACCCGAUCGUAGUCCGGAUCGCAGUCUGCAACUCGACUGCGUGAAGUCGGAAUCGCUAGUAAUCGCGGAUCAGAAUGUCGCGGUGAAUACGUUCCCGGGUCUUGUACACACCGCCCGUCACACCAUGGGAGUGGGUUCACCAGAAGUAGGUAGCCUAACCGUAAGGAGGCGCUUACACGGUGGGAUCAUGACUGGGUGAAUCUAAGGGUUACCCCCCAAAAAACUUAAAA